rnacentral:rRNA from 1 species
ACUCCUACGGGAGGCAGCAGUGGGGAAUUUUGGACAAUGGGGGCAACCCUGAUCCAGCAAUGCCGCGUGAGUGAAGAAGGCCUUCGGGUUGUAAAGCUCUUUUGUCAGGGAAGAAACGGUAGUAGCGAAUAACUAUUACUAAUGACGGUACCUGAAGAAUAAGCACCGGCUAACUACGUGCCAGCAGCCGCGGUAAUACGUAGGGUGCAAGCGUUAAUCGGAAUUACUGGGCGUAAAGCGUGCGCAGGCGGUUGUGUAAGUCAGAUGUGAAAUCCCCGGGCUCAACCUGGGAAUUGCAUUUGAGACUGCACGGCUAGAGUGUGUCAGAGGGGGGUAGAAUUCCACGUGUAGCAGUGAAAUGCGUAGAUAUGUGGAGGAAUACCGAUGGCGAAGGCAGCCCCCUGGGAUAACACUGACGCUCAUGCACGAAAGCGUUGGGAGCAAACAGGAUUAGAUACCCGUGUAGUCCCA